CUGGAGGCCCGAACCCACGUACGUUGAAAAGUGCGGGGAUGAGGUGUGGGUAGCGGUGAAAUUCCAAUCGAACCUGGAGAUAGCUGGUUCUCUCCGAAAUAGCUUUAGGGCUAGCCUCAAGGAGAAGAGUCUUGGAGGUAGAGCACUGUUUGGACUAGGGGCCCUCAUCGGGUUACCGAAUUCAGACAAACUCCGAAUGCCAAUGACUUAUCCUUGGGAGUCAGACUGCGAGUGAUAAGAUCCGUAGUCAAGAGGGAAACAGCCCAGACCGCCAGCUAAGGUCCCCAAGUAUCCGUUAAGUGGAAAAGGAUGUGGAGUUGCUUAGACAACCAGGAUGUUGGCUUAGAAGCAGCCACCAUUUAAAGAGUGCGUAAUAGCUCACUGGUCGAGUGAUUCUGCGCCGAAAAUGUACCGGGGCUAAACGGAUCACCGAAGCUGCGGAUUGACAUCUUUGAUGUCAGUGGUAGGAGAGCGUUCUAAGGGCGGUGAAGCAAGACCGGAAGGACUUGUGGAGCGCUUAGAAGUGAGAAUGCCGGUAUGAGUAGCGAAAGAAGGGUGAGAAUCCCUUCCACCGAAUGCCUAAGGUUUCCUGAGGAAGGCUCGUCCGCUCAGGGUCAGUCGGGGCCUAAGCCGAGGCCGAAAGGCGUAGGCGAUGGACAACAGGUUGAUAUUCCUGUACCACCUUUUUACCAUUUGAGCAAUGGGGGGACGCAGGAGGAUAGGGUAAGCGCGCUGUUGGAUAUGCGCGUCCAAGCAGUUAGGCUGGGGUGGAGGCAAAUCCUUCAUCCUAAAGCGGAGCUGUGAUGGCGAGGGAAAUGUAGUACCGAAGUUCCUGAUUCCACACUGCCAAGAAAAGCCUCUAGCGAGGUAAAAGGUGCCCGUACCGCAAACCGACACAGGUAGGCGAGGAGAGAAUCCUAAGGUGAUCGAGAGAACUCUCGUUAAGGAACUCGGCAAAAUGACCCCGUAACUUCGGGAGAAGGGGUGCUCCUAGGGGUGAAUAGCCCUAGGGAGCCGCAGUGAAUAGGCCCAGGCGACUGUUUAGCAAAAACACAGGUCUCUGCGAAGCCGCAAGGCGAAGUAUAGGGGCUGACGCCUGCCCGGUGCUGGAAGGUUAAGAGGAGCGCUUAGGUGCAAACCGAAGGUGCGAAUUGAAGCCCCAGUAAACGGCGGCCGUAACUAUAACGGUCCUAAGGUAGCGAAAUUCCUUGUCGGGUAAGUUCCGACCCGCACGAAAGGCGCAACGAUCUGGGCACUGUCUCAACGAGAGACUCGGUGAAAUUAUAGUACCUGUGAAGAUGCAGGUUACCCGCGACAGGACGGAAAGACCCCGUGGAGCUUUACUGCAGCCUGAUAUUGAAUGUUGGUGCAGCUUGUACAGGAUAGGUAGGAGCCUUGGAAACCGGAGCGCCAGCUUCGGUGGAGGCAUCGGUGGGAUACUACCCUUGCUGUACUGACCUUCUAACCCGCACCCGUAAUCCGGGUGGGAGACAGUGUCUGGCAGGCAGUUUGACUGGGGCGGUCGCCUCCUAAAGAGUAACGGAGGCGCCCAAAGGUUCCCUCAGAAUGGUUGGAAAUCAUUCGUAGAGUGUAAAGGCACAAGGGAGCUUGACUGCGAGACCUACAAGUCGAGCAGGGACGAAAGUCGGGCUUAGUGAUCCGGUGGUUCCGCAUGGAAGGGCCAUCGCUCAACGGAUAAAAGCUACCCCGGGGAUAACAGGCUUAUCUCCCCCAAGAGUUCACAUCGACGGGGAGGUUUGGCACCUCGAUGUCGGCUCAUCGCAUCCUGGGGCUGUAGUCGGUCCCAAGGGUUGGGCUGUUCGCCCAUUAAAGCGGUACGCGAGCUGGGUUCAGAACGUCGUGAGACAGUUCGGUCCCUAUCCGUCGCGGGCGCAGGAAAUUUGAGAGGAGCUGUCCUUAGUACGAGAGGACCGGGAUGGACGCACCGCUGGUGUACCAGUUGUCUUGCCAAAGGCAUCGCUGGGUAGCUAUGUGCGGACGGGAUAAGUGCUGAAAGCAUCUAAGCAUGAAGCCCCCCUCAAGAUGAGAUUUCCCAUCGCGCAAGCGAGUAAGAUCCCUGAAAGAUGAUCAGGUUGAUAGGUCCGGUGUGGAAGUGUGGCGACACAUGGAGCUGACGGAUACUAAUCGAUCGAGGACUUAAUCUA
rnacentral:rRNA from 1 species